UUACCUGACCAACAAGGUGAAUCAUAUUUUGAUUAGAUCACUUAAUGAUUGUGGUUGACCCAUGCUAACUAGAAAAUCAGUAUGACUGAUUUAGAUGUCUCUAAUUUAACUUGUCUUGAGUUCUCUUUAUGACUUGAUGAAGUCAAGGAGAGGAUUCAUGACUGAUUGGCUGGACCAGCUUAUGCUUGAUCUUCUUUAAUCUGACUUGGUGAAGUCAGUGAGAGGAUUAAGA
rnacentral:lncRNA from 1 species